UACGAAGGGGGCUAGCGUUGUUCGGAAUCACUGGGCGUAAAGCGCACGUAGGCGGAUCGUUAAGUCAGGGGUGAAAUGCCGAGGCUCAACCUCGGAACUGCCUUUGAUACUGGCGAUCUUAGAGUCCGGGAGAGGUGAGUGGAACUCCGAGUGUAGAGGUGAAAUUCGUAGAUAUUCGGAAGAACACCAGUGGCGAAGGCGGCUCACUGGACCGGUAUUGACGCUGAGGUGCGAAAGCGUGGGGAGCAAACAGG
rnacentral:rRNA from 1 species